AACGAACGCUGGCGGCAUGCCUAACACAUGCAAGUCGAACGAGACAUUCGGGUCUAGUGGCGCACGGGUGCGUAACGCGUGGGAACCUGCCCUUAGAUUCGGAAUGACGCCCCGGAAGAGGUGCUAAUACCGGAUAAUGUCCUCGGUCCAAAGAUUUAUCGCCUUUGGAUGGGCCCGCGUUGGAUUAGCUAGUUGGUAGGGUAAAAGCCUACCAAUGCGACGAUCCAUAGCUGGUCUGAGAGGAUGAUCAGCCACACUGGGACUGAGACACGGCCCAGACUCCUACGGGAGGCAGCAGUGGGGAAUAUUGGACAAUGGGCGAAAGCCUGAUCCAGCAAUGCCGCGUGAGUGAUGAAGGCCUUAGGGUUGUAAAGCUCUUUUACCCGGGAUGAUAAUGACAGUACCGGGAGAAUAAGCUCCGGCUAACUCCGUG
rnacentral:rRNA from 1 species